AAGUCGUAACAAGGUCUCCGUUGGUGAACCAGCGGAGGGAUCAUUACUGAGUUCUACAAAACUCCCAACCCUUUGUGAAUUAUACCUUAGUUGCCUCGGCGUCGAGCGAGUCAACCUACCCGGGAGCUACCCUGGAGUCACCUACCCUGUAGAACCUACCCUGUAGGACCUACCCUGUAGAUGGCUACCCUGGAGCUACCCUGUAGUUGCACUUCCGCGUCGCCGGUGGACUACCAAACUCUUAUAUGUAUAGUGUAUCUCUGAAUUCGUAACAAAAUUAGUUAAAACUUUCAACAACGGAUCUCUUGGUUCUG
rnacentral:misc_RNA from 1 species